GACGAACGCUGGCGGCGUGCCUAAUACAUGCAAGCCGAGCGAGCUUGCCUAGAUGAUUUUAGUGCUUGCACUAAAUGAAACUAGAUACAAGCGAGCGGCGGACGGGUGAGUAGCACGUGGGUAACCUGCCCAAGAGACUGGGAUAACACCUGGAAACAGAUGCUAAUACCGCAUAACAACAAAAGCCACAUAGCUUUUGUUUGAAAGAUGGCCUUGGCUAUCACUCUGGGAUGGACCUGCGGUGCAUUAGCUAGUUGGUAAGUAACGGCUUACCAAGGCAAUGAUGCAUAGCCGAGUUGAGAGACUGAUCGGCCACAUUGGGACUGAGACACGGCCUAAACUCCUACGGGAGGCAGCAGUAGGGAAUCUUCACAAUGGACGAAAGUCUGAUGGAGCAACGCCGCGUGAGUGAAGAAGGGUUUCGG
rnacentral:rRNA from 1 species